AUCCUAGUUCCCUUUGUGAAAUUAUGCAAUAUCUGUGUGAGAGUGAGAUCCUAGAACCCAGAGGAACUCAGGUGCUCAAGGGGGAGGAAGCAGGGGCAGCUGGACCCAAUUAAUUUGCUAGCAGUUUGCCUGUAGCAAAACCAAGCAGAAAGGAACCAACUCCUCUAGAGAGAAACAACUCUUUGUCCUGGCUUCAAAUCGACCCAUCCUAAGGCACAGCCAUGUCUCCCCAAUACCUUAGGAGUCAAUCCUGCAUACUACUCUCCCUCCAGGAAAGACUCCAUACCCGUAUGAAGGUCUAUUCUGCCCUCCUGCUGGUCCUAUUGCUAGCUUCUUUGGUCCAGGAUGUAGAUGAACUAAGCCUGGUUUCUGGAUAUCAGUUGCCCAGUGAGGACCACACCCAACAGAAGGGAUGAUGGGAAUUUACUGGAAGGCAAAGAAUCCUUUUGGACUAAGCCAACAGAGUAUUGUAGUCUGAGGAAUGUUCAAGGACACCUCUCCUGCUGCCUGCAUUUCUAGAGAAACACCUUCUACGUCAUCUGAUUUAAAAAACAAAGAUGAUAACCUUUGAAGCAGCCCAAAGUGAAACACUCCACAAAUAGCUUUAAAACAAAUAUUCUUGAGGCAGGUACUGAAGCUGAACCUGGCUUUAACCAGAUGGGGGAAACCCCUCUGCUAUUAGCUUUUCUCCUGCUGGUAUUUGGAGGAAUGUUCAAGGGCACAUCGGCUGCUGUCUGCAUUUCUAGGUAGUAGAUUUUGGACCUAAAAUUUACUGGCCAGCUAGAAGAACAAUACUGCAAAACCAAUUUAGCUCUCACAGCUGAGCCUCACUUAACUGGAAUUAUUUAUCCUUUCAGCUUGCAGAAAUGGGUCUAUGGUGGCCUUCUAGGCCCAUACACCAAAAAUAACUGUAAAACCACACACGUAUCAGCAGAACUAGUGUCAACUAAAGAUAAUAAAGAACUUCAUCAUCAAACCA